rnacentral:rRNA from 1 species
GACGAACGCUGGCGGCGUGCCUAAUACAUGCAAGUUGAGCGCUGAAGGUUGGUACUUGUACCAACUGGAUGAGCAGCGAACGGGUGAGUAACGCGUGGGGAAUCUGCCUUUGAGCGGGGGACAACAUUUGGAAACGAAUGCUAAUACCGCAUAAAAACUUUAAACACAAGUUUUAAGUUUGAAAGAUGCAAUUGCAUCACUCAAGGAUGAUCCCGCGUUGUAUUAGCUAGUUGGUGAGGUAAAGGCUCACCAAGGCGAUGAUACAUAGCCGACCUGAGAGGGGGAUCGGCCACAUUGGGACGGAGACACGGCCCAAACUCCUACGGGAGGCAGCAGUAGGGAAUCUUCGGCAAUGGACGAAAGUCUGACCGAGCAACGCCGCGUGAGUGAAGAAGGGUUUCGGAUCGUAAAACUCUGUUGGUAGAGAAGAACGUUGGUGAGAGUGGAAAGCUCAUCAAGUGACGGUAACUACCCAGAAAGGGACGGCUAACUACGUG